GUCUGUCUGUUGAUGGUUCACUCUGAAGCCUGACCAGGAGGGGGUUUCGCCUCCAUUCUUUCCUCAGAGGCACAGGCCAUGUCCCUCCCUGCUCCAGCUCCCUCAGGGGGAAACCCGAAAGGAAGCCAGAGUAAGAAGUGGAGCGGCAGCAGCAGCAAGGCAAGGGAUGCAGGCAGAGAGCCAAGAAGACCGAAGGGAUCAUGGGAAAGGAGGCCAGAGGGAAACCAGAGAGGAGAAACCAGAUCUGAGAAGUGCAUAGAUGCGUCCCAAGAAGAGUGUUAUGAAAAGCCAAGCCUGGCAACUCCUAUGAGCAUGGGGUGGAAUCCUAGUCGCACGCAAGACAAAUGGGCCAGCAGCGACAUGAACAGUCUUCACGGUAAGUCUAAAAUUGUACCUAAAAUUGGAGAAGAGCAGCCACUGCCACAAUUGUGCUUUGGUGUCAUCAAGAACUCUAUCUCAGAUGUGGAUAAGUCCCUGCAGAUAAAUGCAAUUGGUCAUAGGUAG
rnacentral:lncRNA from 1 species